GCGGGCGUAGCUCAAUGGUAGAGCUGUAGCUUCAAGCUACUGACGUGGGUUCGAUUCCCAUCGCCCGCUCCA
rnacentral:tRNA from 1 species